UUCGGCGCCAAUUUUGUCAGUGGCAAUGGCAGUGACCAACAGAGACUUGUUUGGGAUAAUGCGCGGCCGCUGCAAAGAGCCAUUUUGUGACUGUGAGCGCUUCAGUGUCCUCAUUUCGGCGAACAUUCGCUGUGACUACUGCGACCACAGCCCCGGAUCGCAUGGGAAAAUAGACGAACUUGAUGGCAUUGCCAGCUGAUGAGCUCCAAGUAACAGCACCUCACAUUCACUGCGCUCCUGACAAGAUAUGUAUUUUUGCUGGCAGCCAAGCCGAAGUCAUCACUGUCUCCAAGUCUGAAAUACAACGGGCACUUAUUUUUUGCCUUUUGGCAUAUUAUGUUAAGAACCUAGAAUAUCCAUUUGCAUUUUACCAAAUGCUUGCUCUCGUGCAAAAAGUUGUGCUGCCAGGAGACAAGCUAGUGAAAGGACUGCUUUCUACCCGUCUGAAACGUCUCUUUGCGCUCCUAAGCAGUAAAAAUGUAAUCUAGGGAGUAGUGCUGUUCGCGCUGCUUUCCAUGUUUUUCACCAACUCUGAA